CCUACGGGGGGCAGCAGUAGGGAAUCUUCGGCAAUGGGCGAAAGCCUGACCGAGCAAUGCCGCGUGAACGAUGAAGGUCUUAGGAUUGUAAAGUUCUUUUAUAAGGGAAGAAAAAGCACAAUGGACUUGUGCAUAUUGACGGUACCUUAAGAAUAAGCCACGGCUAACUACGUGCCAGCAGCCGCGGUAAUACGUAGGUGGCGAGCGUUAUCCGGAAUUAUUGGGCGUAAAGCGUGAGUAGGUGGCAUAUUAAGUCUAUAGUAAAAGGCUGUGGCUCAACCAUAGUAUGCUGUAGAAACUGGUAAGCUAGAAUUAGGGAGAGGUUAAUGGAAUUUCAUGUGUAGCGGUGGAAUGCGUAGAUACAUGAAGGAACACCAGUGGCGAAGGCGGUUAACUGGCCCUACAUUGACACUCAGUCACGAAAGCGUGGGGAGCAAAUAGGCUUAGAUACCCCAGUAGUC
rnacentral:rRNA from 1 species